rnacentral:rRNA from 1 species
UGGGGAAUUUUGGACAAUGGGGGCAACCCUGAUCCAGCCAUUCCGCGUGAGUGAAGAAGGCCUUCGGGUUGUAAAGCUCUUUUGUUCGGGACGAAACGGUUACGGUUAAUAACCUUGACUAAUGACGGUACCGGAAGAAUAAGCACCGGCUAACUACGUGCCAGCAGCCGCGGUAAUACGUAGGGUGCGAGCGUUAAUCGGAAUUACUGGGCGUAAAGCGUGCGCAGGCGGUUUUAUAAGCCAGAUGUGAAAUCCCCGGGCUCAACCUGGGAAUGGCAUUUGGGACUGUAAGACUAGAGUAUGGCAGAGGAGACUAGAAUUCCUGGUGUAGCAGUGAAAUGCGUAGAUAUCAGGAGGAAUACCGAUGGCGAAGGCAGGUCUCU